GCAGAGAAGAGGAAGAGAGAGACUCCAAGAGCAUUGGGAAUAGGAUCAAAGAGGGGAGUCUAGAGCUCGAUUUCUCCUCCAUUAUCAGAGGUAGAAAUUUGCUUUGUGUUCUCCCAACGCCUCAUAUUCCUAUCGAUCCUAGGCACUCCUUCCUCUUUUUUUUGGCU
rnacentral:pre_miRNA from 1 species